rnacentral:rRNA from 1 species
GACGAACGCUGGCGGCGUGCCUAACACAUGCAAGUCGAACGGAGCACUUCGGUGCUUAGUGGCGAACGGGUGAGUAACGCGUGAGCAACCUACCUUUCAGUGGGGGGACAACAGUUGGAAACGACUGCUAAUACCGCAUGAUGUCAUCGGGGGGACAUCCUCUGGUGACCAAAGCUUUAUGUGCUGAAAGAUGGGCUCGCGUCUGAUUAGCUAGAUGGCGGGGUAACGGCCCACCAUGGCGACGAUCAGUAGCCGGUCUGAGAGGAUGAACGGCCACAUUGGGACUGAGAUACGGCCCAGACUCCUACGGGAGGCAGCAGUGGGGAAUAUUGGGCAAUGGGGGAAACCCUGACCCAGCAACGCCGCGUGAAGGAAGAAGGCCCUCGGGUUGUAAACUUCUUUUACCAGGGACGAAGAAAGUGACGGUACCUGGAGAAAAAGCAACGGCUAACUACGUG